CAUGCAAGUCGAGGGGCAGCAGGACCUUGCAAUAGAUUGCUGGCGACCGGCGCACGGGUGAGUAACACGUAUCCAACCUGCCGAUAACUCGGGGAUAGCCUUUCGAAAGAAAGAUUAAUACACGAUGGUAUAAUCAGACCGCAUGGUCUUGUUAUUAAAGAAUUUCGGUUAUCGAUGGGGAUGCGUUCCAUUAGGCAGUUGGUGAGGUAACGGCUCACCAAACCUUCGAUGGAUAGGGGUUCUGAGAGGAAGGUCCCCCACACUGGAACUGAGACACGGUCCAAACUCCUACGGGAGGCAGCAGUGAGGAAUAUUGGUCAAUGGGCGCAGGCCUGAACCAGCCAAGUAGCGUGAAGGAUGACUGCCCUAUGGGUUGUAAACUUCUUUUAUAUGGGAAUAAAGUUUUCCACGUGUGGAAUUUUGUAUGUACCAUAUGAAUAAGGAUCGGCUAACUCCGUGCCAGCAGCCGCGGUAAUACGGAGGACCCGAGCGUUAUCCGGAUUUAUUGGGUUUAAAGGGAGCGUAGGUGGACAGUUAAGUCAGUUGUGAAAGUUUGCGGCUCAACCGUAAAAUUGCAGUUGAUACUGGCUGUCUUGAGUACAGUAGAGGUGGGCGGAAUUCGUGGUGUAGCGGUGAAAUGCUUAGAUAUCACGAAGAACUCCGAUUGCGAAGGCAGCUCACUGGACUGCAACUGACACUGAUGCUCGAAAGUGUGGGUAUCAAACAGGAUUAGAUACCCUGGUAGUCCACACAGUAAACGAUGAAUACUCGCUGUUUGCGAUAUACAGUAAGCGGCCAAGCGAAAGCAUUAAGUAUUCCACCUGGGGAGUACGCCAGCAACGGUGAAACUCAAAGGAAUUGACGGGGGCCCGCACAAGCGGAGGAACAUGUGGUUUAAUUCGAUGAUACGCGAGGAACCUUACCCGGGCUUAAAUUGCAUUUGAAUAUAUUGGAAACAGUAUAGCCGUAAGGCAAAUGUGAAGGUGCUGCAUGGUUGUCGUCAGCUCGUGCCGUGAGGUGUCGGCUUAAGUGCCAUAACGAGCGCAACCCUUAUCUUUAGUUACUAACAGGUCAUGCUGAGGACUCUAGAGAGACUGCCGUCGUAAGAUGUGAGGAAGGUGGGGAUGACGUCAAAUCAGCACGGCCCUUACGUCCGGGGCUACACACGUGUUACAAUGGGGGGUACAGAAGGCAGCUACCUGGUGACAGGAUGCUAAUCCCAAAAGCCUCUCUCAGUUCGGAUCGAAGUCUGCAACCCGACUUCGUGAAGCUGGAUUCGCUAGUAAUCGCGCAUCAGCCAUGGCGCGGUGAAUACGUUCCCGGGCCUUGUACACACCGCCCGUCAAGCCAUGAAAGCCGGGGGUACCUGAAGUACGUAACCGCAAGGAGCGUCCUAGGGUAAAACUGGUAAUUGGGGCUAAGUC
rnacentral:rRNA from 1 species